rnacentral:rRNA from 1 species
UACGUAGGGGGCAAGCGUUAUCCGGAUUUACUGGGUGUAAAGGGAGCGUAGGCGGCCUGGCAAGCCUGAUGUGAAAUACCGGGGCCCAACCCCGGGGCUGCAUUGGGAACUGCCAGGCUGGAGUGCCGGAGAGGCAGGCGGAAUUCCUAGUGUAGCGGUGAAAUGCGUAGAUAUUAGGAGGAACACCAGUGGCGAAGGCGGCCUGCUGGACGGUGACUGACGCUGAGGCUCGAAAGCGUGGGGAGCAAACAGG